rnacentral:rRNA from 1 species
UACGUAGGGUGCAAGCGUUGUCCGGAAUUAUUGGGCGUAAAGAGCUCGUAGGCGGUCUGUCGCGUCGGCUGUGAAAUCCCGAGGCUCAACCUCGGGUCUGCAGUCGAUACGGGCAAACUAGAGUAUUGCAGGGGAGACUGGAAUUCCUGGUGUAGCGGUGAAAUGCGCAGAUAUCAGGAGGAACACCGGUGGCGAAGGCGGGUCUCUGGGCAAUAACUGACGCUGAUUGUGCGAAAGCGUGGGGAGCAAACAGG